GACGAACGCUGGCGGCGUGCUUAACACAUGCAAGUCGAACGGGCCCGCCCCUGUUUUUGGGGGUGGGUUGAGUGGCGAACGGGUGAGUAUCACGUGAGUAACCUGCCCCCUGCUCCUGGAUAACUGCUUGAAAGGGCGGCUAAUACGGGGUGUGCCGGCUGGUCCGCAUGGGCCUGGUCGGGAUAGUUUCAUCUUCGGGUGUUUCGGUGGGGGAUGGGCUCGCGGCCUAUCAGCUUGUUGGUGGGGUGAUGGCCCACCAAGGCGGUGACGGGUAGCCGGCCUGGGAGGGUGGGCGGCCACACUGGGACUGAGACACGGCCCAGACUCCUGCGGGAGGCAGCAGUGGGGGGUAUUGCACAAUGGGCGGAAGCCUGAUGCAGCGACGUCGCGUGAGGGAUGGAGGCCUUCGGGUUGUGAACCUCUUUCUCCGGUGGGGAAGGCCCUGUCCGGUGCGGCGGGGUUGACGGUAGCCGGGGAUGAAGCGCCGGCUAACUACGUG
rnacentral:rRNA from 1 species